UGGGGCCUGGGUGAGGCGCUGGAUCUUGCCGGCUGCGGGGCCUGGCCCUGCCGAAGGAGGCCUCCUCUUAGGACAAGAGCAGGCGUGAUGCUUGGGUCCUGCCCUGUAGGAAUGAGCAAGUUGGUCUUCCCUGGUUCCCUGACCCAUAACAAGGGCCGGGGAGGGGCACUGCACUGGGUCUCCUUGGCGAGCCCGGCGUUCCCUCAUCCCACCAGUCCAAGUGCCCCUCGCUCUUUCUGGGGCAGCCCCACUCUCAUGGAAAUUCUCUAAAGAGUCAUCCUGGUGAUGAAUGCCAAGGGAGCUAAACUUAGCCCACCGUGGCCCUGCCUCCCUUCGCCCCUGCGUUGGGCUCUGCGUUGGGUGGAAGCCUUGAGAGCAGGGAGUCCAUCUUGGGGUCCUCACCGGGUCCGCCCUGUGCCCUGGGCCUUGUGCCCCGACCUCAGCCCACGGCAGCUUCAGACAUCCUUGCUCAUCCCAGAGCGGGCACUGCCGACUCUGCCCAGCUCCCGGCACAGACCCGCCCACAGGGCCGGGCCUGCGGGAGGACCCACUGUUCCUGGGAGCACCUGCCAGGCAAAUGAAUGACCUGAGGUCUGACCUGGUUGGUGACUCCAGGCCCCUCCUGGCCUUGGCCAGACCCUCCUCGGGCUCCUGGCUCGUGCCCGAACCACAGGGCUUUCCCGCCCCCGGGACCACAGGCGUGGACUUCACCUUCUGGGAGCAACGUGGUCUGUGCAGCCCUCGUGGCAUUCCCAGGAGCCUCGGCUUGCCGGGUGCUGAUAAUUUCACUCUGGAGCCCGACGGUGCGGCUUGCCAGCUUCCAGAUGAGAGGGGAUUUACGGGCUCUUAGGAGUUCAAGCGAGUUCCCGCCAGCAGCCGCUGGAGCCCCUGGUGGCAGAGGUGUCCUGAGAUAGCCUCCCUGAUGUCCCAGGAGGUGACCAUGCCAUGAGGCAUGGGGUGCUCGAGUGUGAGGAUGCCCUCCUGGCCCAAGCCUCCCCUAGUGUGGUACUUUUUGUGUCUAAUCACUUCUAGGCUCCUGGCCUAGAAGGCGGGAAGGGAGCAGCAUGGCCCGUCUGUGGUACCGGGGCACCCCACCCCACCCCACAGCAUCCAUCACCAUCCAUUUAGGGUCACACCCACAUGCCUGCAUACCGGGGGCCGGAAGCACCGGGGAACCCCCCCAACCCCUUCUUCAUGGGGCCUGUGAGCAGCGUGGGAGCCAGACGUCUUCCUUUCAUGGCUGGUCUCUUCUGCCUGCAGGUGCCUGCCCAGCUCCCAGGAUCAUGAGUCCCCCAUGCAGCCUGGCCCAUCUCAGGGACAGCAUCCCCGACGCCUUCCACAGGGAAGGGAGCUGUCUCCACAUUGGGACGGACGGGGCAAGGGGGGCCGGGAUGAAGCCACCCUGUGGGAAGCGUCCUGGCUUUGUGUGCCGGCCCCUGGGGUCCCCUCCCAGGUGGCAAGGGCUCCGCCAGCAGCCGCACUACUCUCCUUAUCUGCGUUGGAUUACCACACUCGGGAAGGAAGAUGGAGGGUCGGGGGCUUUGGAUCCAGAGCCCAAAGCAGGCUGGAACUUUACCAAGCUUUGCCCCACCUGCGAGGGCUGGUGCCUGCCUGGGAGGAGUGUUUGUACCGAGCUUCCUGUAGGUGGGACGGGUGACCCCCGCCACCCGGGAAGGCGGAACGCAGCUCAGCAGAGCAGCUUCCCACCACUCCGAGUAGGGGCAGCCCCAUGGUACCUCUGGGGCCAAGUGUGGAGCUGCCUGU
rnacentral:lncRNA from 1 species